ensembl:lncRNA
AUGGGGUGGGUCUGCUUUAAUGCCUGGACCAGAGUUUUCAGCCCUCCCUUUGCAGAUUCAGACAAAACAAGAGGCAGGACCAGUGGAAAUGUUACUUUAUUACAGACAGUCAAAAAGCCAUUUACAAUGCAGGACAAGGAAGCCAAGUUUGAUGCAGAAAGUGUAGCGGCAGUGCUUUGUUCACAGAUUCAUACUGAUCAGACACGGACACAUAUAUACACAGUCAGCGGGGGUGGGGGGAGAUUAGUAAAUAAGUGGUGCAAAACUACUUUGUGGCAACCAAAGCAGAGCUUGGCAAAUAUUUUGUGCUUAGUUUUGCAACUAUUGGAAGGCAAUUGAAACCUAGAAGUUCAGUUGUUUUGCAAUUUUAGUCCAUGUUUUCAUUUUUUAAAAAAAUUAAAUUUCUAUACCACCUUUCAUCUAAAGAUCACAAAAAUACAUUUAAUAAGGAAACAAGAAACAAGAACACUCCCCCUACUACGCUGUUUAAAAGGCCAGAUUGUUUAAUUAGCCAAAGGCCUCGGAGAAAAGGAAUGUUUUUGCCUGGGCAAGAUGCAGUUUGACUUACUUUCCUUUGUAUAAAACAAGCCUGAAGGAGACCCCCAACCUGCUCACAGGUCCUUGUAUGAUCAGUGGAAACAGUUGGUCCUGGCAAGUAUUAACCACUCUCAAUUCCAAACCUGAUAAUUGCCACCUGCCCAGAUUUUAACUUGUCUGAAUUAAUUUUAAGGUGUAUUUUAAUUAAUUGAUGGCUGUUUUAUGCAUAUUGUGUUGUUUUUAUGAUGUUAGCCACUCUGAUCCCAGCUGGGGAGGGCGGGAUACAAAUAAAUUAUUAUUAUUAUUAUUAUUAUUAUUAUUAUUGAUAUGUAAUGAAGGCACCAGGCAAGCCUCCAUGGAGAGAACAUUCCACAAGUAGGGAGCCACCACAGAAAAGGCCCAUUCCCGUGUUGCUGCUCUCUGGACCUCUCAUGGAGGGGACACAUGAAGAAGGGCUUCAGAUGAUGGAUACAGUGUGCAUAUGAGGAGAGGCAGUCCUGGAUGUAUUGCGGUCCUGAGCCAUUUGAGGUUUUAUAUGUCAAAACCAGCACUUCAAAUUGGCCAGAAACUGAUUGGAGCCAGUGCACUUGGGCCAAGAUUGGCAUUAUAUGUUCAAGUAAGCAACCUGGCCACUGAAUUUUUGCAUUAGACCACAGUCAUAAAUUGGAUGUGCAAACUGGAGCUGAGGAUUCCACAGCCAUUUCUGUAUUACCUGUUCCAUAGGCAUAGUGGUUCUGCUAACAUCUAAGAGAAGGAACAGUGCAAGAGAAAUUAUGUAUUUACAUAAAUGGAGCACCAGAAGUGGCAAAUGGUAGUAGUUUCAUUCAUUGUUAUCUUUCAGUCUUUCUGUCUCCUACUGAGCACAGUAGCUAAAAGUUGGGUGUCACGGGAGCUGGUUGAACCUUCUUUUAAACAGGGCAAAAAUGUUUAGGAAAAGUCACCACCAUGUGCUCACAUGAUGAACAUAAACCUUUGGAGGUUUCAGUUUUCAGUGCUUCUCUUGAUGUGGCAAUUUCUCUACCCAUUUAGGUGCAUUUAGAGUGAAUGCAGAAGUGAGUAAAAUUUACACCGAGGAGGCACAGUGAACACAAGAGUCUGGCCUCUCAUGAAUAAAACAUGGGAUGGUAGGGUGCAGUUUAUUUAUAUACUGUGCCACUUUUUUUUUUAGCCAGAGGCCCCCAAAGAGGUGAACAACAUGAAUGCAUAUUAUUACAAAAUAUAUAUUUACAGCAUUACUACAGUAUAUGUAUACCUAUAAUAAAAGUACGAUGCAUCAAAUAGAAAACAGUGGCAGGAUUUUUAAUUAUCGACAUUGCCGGGGCGGGGGGGGGGGAAUAAAAUGUUCCGCUAAGAGGAGAUCCAAGGAGGUGCUCCAUAUCAGAAGUAGCCUCUUAACAUUCUUAAAACAUGAGUAAAAUUAAGAUGGGAGCCUGGUCUUAAUCAUCCUAACAGAGGGAGGUCCAAUUUUUCGUACCAAGUGGAGCACGUGUACUUUGAAACAGAACCCAUGGGACGCACACUGUCUUGCCACACAGGAGAGAGGAAGGCUAAAAUUUUGGGAAGGAGGCAUAAGGGCUCAGGGAGGGUCCUAGAGCCCUCUCACCUUCCCAAAGCUGGGGAGGAGGGCUGUAAGACCCUGUCAGAGCCCUCACAUCUGGGUGGGUGUCAAAUGAUGCCGAGGUCCACACUUUGGACCACCCUGUCCUAGCAUAAAGGUAAAGGUACCCCUGCCCGUACGGGCCAGUCUUGACAGACUCUAGGGUUGUGCGCCCAUCUCACUCAAGACACUUCCGGGUCACGUGGCCAGCGUGACAUCGCUGCUCUGGCGAGCCAGAGCCGCACACGGAACGCCGUUUACCUUCCCGCUGGUAAGCGGUCCCUAUUUAUCUACUUGCACCCAGAGGUGCUUUCGAACUGCUAGGUUGGCAGGCGCUGGGACCAAACAACGGGAGCGCACCCCACCGCGGGGAUUCGAACCGCUGACCUUUCGAUCGGCAAGCCCUAGGCACUGAGGCUUUUACCCAUAGGUAAAAAAGGUCCUAGCAUAACCUUCAGCAAACUCAACUGCAUAGGUGACGAAUUGGAUGACCCACUGGCUUGAUUCAAAACUCACUCACCUGGUAUGUGCCACCUUUGAUAGGUGAGUAACCCCCCCCCCUCAGCUCCCUGGCAUCCAAUGAUUCCUUUUCAAGUUGCAAUUCGGCACAAUUGUGGUUGUUUUUUUUUUGUCACCGCAAGGUACCAAGGUGAAAAAAAGUACUGAACUGCAACCAGUGUCUGGAAAGGCAGAACUGCCGCUGACAUCAUAAGUUGUCAGGUGAUGGACAGGUGGACAUGGUUUGGACCCAAAAAUGCCAUGGACCUAAUUGGGAUGUGUGUGCCUGCAAGGUGAAGGUUCCACACCGCUGCUCUCAGGGCUGUAACCUCCUAUUUUAAUGUUUAUCCCCUACCAAAUACAGUGGUGCCCCGCAAGACGAAUGCCUCGCAAGACGAAAAACCCGCAAGACGAAAAACCCGCAAGACGAAAGGGUUUUCCGUCUCGGAGGCGCUUCGCAAGACGAAGUUCCCUAUGGGCUUGCUUCGCAAGACGAAAACAUCUUGCGAGUCUCGCCAUUCCCCCCCGCCCCGCUUUUUCCCCCCUUUUUCAAAGCCGCUAAGCUGUUAAUAGCCUUUUAACAGCUUAGCCGCUAAGCCCGCUAAGCCGCUAAUAGCGCUAAAUCGCUAAUAGUGCUAAUCUGCUUAGCCGCCAAUGGGGUUGCUUCGCAAGACGAAAAAACCGCUAGAAGAAAAGAAUCGCGGAACGGAUUCUUUUCGUCUUGCGAGGCACCACUGUAAUAGAGAAAAGGAGAGGGGAGAAAAUACUGUUUGCCGCAAGAGAUGAUGUAUUGAGCUUAGCUGUAUCCAAUAAUUCUAAGGCCCUGUAAUUUUGAAAAGGAGAAUAAAAGAGCCACAGGAGGAGCAACGUGCCCAAAAUAGGUCCCAACCAUUAAAGUCUGAUGUGGCAGUCUAGGGAAACCACUACUGCUCAGAAGGGUUUGAUCUCCCCCACCCCAAAAGCAGGUUAUUUCAAAGAGGCCUCCACUGCCUA